UAGUAGGUCUUCAGUUAAUAUUUGUGGAAGUGGCUGAAUGAACCUCCCAUCUCAGAGGCCCUUGGCCCACAGGGAAGCUUCCUGAAUGGAGACGUGGGAAGAAGGUCUUCUUCAAGCCACUUCUGUCUCCAUCCUUCCUGGAUACCCCCACCGUGACCCUCAUCCUCCUGCCUGCGUGUCUCCGGUACGGUGCUGGGGAGACAACAUCAGCGAUAACAUCUGGAACCUGCUCGUCAAGUCACACGUCACUAUACAAAUAUCAAGCUGACUUCAUUCUGUCCCGACUGGCUGUAAAAUCCAGGAAAAACCCAGUGGCAUGGGCCCCAAGCUGCACACACUAUAUUCAGAUGUUUACAGAAAACCAGGGCUCAAGGAUUUGCUCGAAAGCUAAAUUUCCUCUUAGCCAAAGCCCAGAAAUGCCUUUUAAACCCUGAGCAAAUAAGCCGGAGGAGAAGGCAUUCUCCCUGUGCCGGAGCCCUCCGAGCUAGGGGAUCUUCAACUUUUCAAGGGAACAAGCUUGCUGCAAAAGACGCCGCACAGAGGAGCCCCUCGCCACCCGCAACCACCAGGCUUCCAGAACUUGCCCUUUGGUCCUGGGGCAGAUGGUCCGAACAGCCACAAGCCCCAGGCCUGACUUCAGGCUGCAAAUGGAAGAAGCUUGAAGCAUACAUCUAGGUCCAAUUAGAAAGACAGCGUUGGCUCAAAAUAGAAUUAAAAUAAGCCAUUGUUUUAAAAAAAUUAACCAACCAAACAAAACCCUUUCCCCAUGGAAUGUUGAACUGAGUUGGGUGUACCCUGAACAAAAAUUUGCUGGAACAGCACAGACAUUGGGCAUCAUCUCAGUGCUCAAUUUACUGAGCACUUCCUGUGUCCCAAGCCAGGACUUUCUACAGGAAGCCCCUUUAAUCCUUACAACAAGUUUCUGAGACAGGAAUCAUUAUUACUCCUCUUUUACAGAUGCGGAAACAGAGGUGCAAAGAGCGUGUUAUGUAAGAGGUUCAAUUUCAUAGAGCCCAUGAGUGGACGUGCCAGGAUCCUAACUCGGCAUGCCUGGAAUCAGCCAGGGCCCAGCUCGAGGCCCAGCUCAGCUUGGCUAUGUGACCUUGGGCAAGUUAUUUAACUUCUCUGAGCAUCUGAAGACAAGAAUAGGAAUAGUACCUAUUUCCUAAGAUUAAGUGAGACGGUAUAUGCGAAAGUAGCAAAGUGUUCUUUUCCCCUCCUUGCAUUUUGCCGUGUGUGUUGUUUUAUUUAUAAGGCGUUGUUCAGGCUGCUGGUAGCUGGAAGCAGAGCUCGGUUGUCCACGUGCGAGUGGGGAAGAGCUGUGGAGAGUUGUGGCCAAGAAGCAGCAGGCACAUGGGGGCCGAGUGCAUUGGCAGGGGUUGCAAGAGGUAAGAAGCGGCCACAGAAGGGAGAAGGGGGUUUGGCAGGAUGAGCAAUGAGACCUCCAAACCCAGCAGCAAAAUGGGUGAAAAUGGCCGCCUGGAUAAAAGACGACGUGGCCCCCUUGGGUAUGGCCGCAAAGGCACCCCUGCUUUCUCCUUGCCACGGGGAAAAUGAUUUGGCUGAGCAAGGAAAUGGGGGGAGAGGAAAGGCUGUGGAUGGCUGGGAUGGACGGGGCAGUGCGUGGGAGAAGGAAGGCAUCACAUGAGCAGGAAGAAACAGGCCGUGUAUGAAUUUCCUGAGGCUGCUGUCACAAAUGGCCACAAACUGGUGACUUAGAAUAACAGAAAUUUUUUCUCUUACAGUUCUGGAGGCCAGAAGUCUGAAAUCAAGAUGUCAGGGCCACACCCCCUCUGCAGGCUCCAGAGGAGUAUCCUUCCUUGCUUCUUCCAGCUUCUGGUGGCUCCAGAACUGCAGCAUGGACCCAAAGAGUUAUGGACACGGGACUCGUCUGCCACAGAAACACAGUAGUAACCGUGCAACUGAGCUAAGUGGAGGGGCGCAGAGAAUGGCCAGUGUCGCACCCCUGAAUCACCCACAGGCCUAUCACUGCGCCUGAGAUUUCCACCGUUCGAUCUGCUCCUGAAGCUCCCUGGGAAGCAAGAUCUGUCAAUUUACUCACAUUCAUCCAACAUCUAUUUAGCGCCUACUACGCACAGACCACUGUGGGAGGAAGAUACGCAUGCGUCUGUUUUGUACUUUACAAGAUGGCGAGGCUGAGGCUCUGGAAGGCCGUGUCUUCUGCCCAAGAUCACGUGGCCAGUAGGUAGCAAAUCUGGGCUUCCAAUUGAGGAUGGAUGGAGUUUAUCAACAGGGACAACCAAGUUUUGGAGGUUUAAAAGAUCAUGGAGAAGUCAGAAUGGAUAAGACACAAAACGCCCGGCACUAUGGGCCCCUGGCAGGCUUCAUUAAAUUCCGUAAUGAAUAAAAUAUCAGCCAACCCAGUUCAAAGAGAAAAGGAGGAUUCAAGAAACCCCCCAGAAGGAGAAAGUUGGAACAAAGCAAGCCAGCUCGGAGAGGCGAAAACAAAUAAAUGCAUCAUUUGUAUUGUCGUUUGA